GUCGAGCGGUAACAGGGGAGCUUGCUCCUGCUGACGAGCGGCGGACGGGUGAGUAACGCGUGGGAAUCUGCCCAUUGGUGGGGGAUAGCCCGGAGAAAUUCGGAUUAAUACCGCAUAAUACCUGAGGGUUAAAACGGGGGAUCAUUAGACCUCGUGCCAAUGGAUGAGCCCGCGUCAGAUUAGCUAGUUGGUAAGGUAAAGGCUUACCAAGGCGACGAUCUGUAGCUGGCCUGAGAGGGUGGUCAGUCACACUGGAACUGAGACACGGUCCAGACUCCUACGGGAGGCAGCAGUGGGGAAUAUUGGGCAAUGGGCGCAAGCCUGACCCAGCCAUGCCGCGUGUGUGAAGAAGGCUUUCGGGUUGUAAAGCACUUUAAGUUGGGAGGAAGGCUGCUUAGUUAAUACCUAAGUAGAUUGACGUUACCAACAGAAUAAGCACCGGCUAAUUCCGUGCCAGCAGCCGCGGUAAUACGGAAGGUGCGAGCGUUAAUCGGAAUUACUGGGCGUAAAGAGCACGUAGGCGGUUUGUUAAGUUGGAUGUGAAAGCCCAGGGCUCAACCUUGGAAUUGCAUCCGAUACUGGCAGGCUAGAGUACAGUAGAGGGAGGUGGAAUUUCCGGUGUA
rnacentral:rRNA from 1 species